AAAGAUUUAGUUAAAUUAAUAACUUAAAUUUGUCAAAUUUAAAUUAAUAUCCCUUAUUAAAUAUUAAUCUUUA
rnacentral:tRNA from 1 species